rnacentral:rRNA from 1 species
UGAGGAAUAUUGGGCAAUGCCCGAAAGGGUGACCCAGCAACGCCGCGUGGAGGAUGAAGGUCGUAAGAUUGUAAACUCCUGUUAGAGGGGAAGAAUAACUAAGUUUGGAGCUUAGUAUGACUGUACCCUCAGAGAAAGCCCCGGCUAACUACGUGCCAGCAGCCGCGGUAAUACGUAGGGGGCAAGCGUUGUCCGGAUUUACUGGGUGUAAAGGGCGCGCAGGCGGAAUGGAAAGUCAGUGGUGAAAUCCUACAGCUUAACUGUAGAACUGCCUUUGAUACUUUCAUUCUUGGGUUCGGGAGAGAGAGACGGAAUUCCAGGUGUAGUGGUGAAAUACGUAGAUAUCUGGAAGAACACCAGUUGCGAAGGCGGUCUCUUGGUCCGAUACUGACGCUGAGGCGCGAAAGCGUGGGGAGCAAACA